UACGAAGGGUGCAAACGUUGCUCGGAAUUAUUGGGCGUAAAGAGCUCGUAGGCGGUGUGUCGCGUCGGCCGUGAAAACCUGCAGCUCAACUGCAGGCUGGCGGUCGAUACGGGCAGGCUGGAGUUCGGUAGGGGAGACUGGAAUUCCUGGUGUAGCGGUGAAAUGCGCAGAUAUCAGGAGGAACACCGGUGGCGAAGGCGGGUCUCUGGGCCGAUACUGACGCUGAGGAGCGAAAGCGUGGGGAGCGAACAGG
rnacentral:rRNA from 1 species